rfam:Salmo salar isolate Sally breed double haploid chromosome ssa19, whole genome shotgun sequence.
UGCACUCACUACUGUAAAUCGCUCUGGAUAAGAGCGUCUGCUAAAUGACUAAAA